rnacentral:rRNA from 1 species
UACGUAGGGUGCAAGCGUUAAUCGGAAUUACUGGGCGUAAAGCGUGCGCAGGCGGUGAUGUAAGACAGAUGUGAAAUCCCCGGGCUCAACCUGGGAACUGCAUUUGUGACUGCAUCGCUGGAGUGCGGCAGAGGGGGAUGGAAUUCCGCGUGUAGCAGUGAAAUGCGUAGAUAUGCGGAGGAACACCGAUGGCGAAGGCAAUCCCCUGGGCCUGCACUGAC